rnacentral:rRNA from 1 species
CACGUAGGGCGCAAGCGUUGUCCGGAAUUAUUGGGCGUAAAGAGCUCGUAGGCGGUCUGUUGCGUCCGCUGUGAAAACUCGGGGCUUAACCCCGAGCCUGCAGUGGAUACGGGCAGACUAGAGGUAGGUAGGGGAGAAUGGAAUUCCCGGUGUGGCGGUGAAAUGCGCAGAUAUCGGGAGGAACACCGGUGGCGAAGGCGGUUCUCUGGGCCUUACCUGACGCUGAGGAGCGAAAGCGUGGGGAGCGAACAGG